rnacentral:tRNA from 1 species
GCGAUUGUGGCUCAGUGGUUAGAGCGAUGGCCUGUGGACCAAGGGUCCCGGGUUCGAACCCAGUCAAGGGCA